rnacentral:rRNA from 1 species
GGAAUAUUGCACAAUGGGGGAAACCCUGAUGCAGCAACGCCGCGUGAAGGAAGAAGUAUUUCGGUAUGUAAACUUCUAUCGACAGGGAAGAAACAAAUGACGGUAACUGAAUAAGAAGCACCGGCUAAAUACGUGCCAGCAGCCGCGGUAAUACGUAUGGUGCAAGCGUUAUCCGGAUUUACUGGGUGUAAAGGGUGAGCAGGCGGUUAUGCAAGUCAUACGUGAAAUGUCGGGGCUUAACCCCGGCCUGCGUAAGAAACUGUAUAACUUGAGUGCAGGAGAGGCAAGCGGAAUUCCCAGUGUAGCGGUGAAAUGCGUAGAUAUUGGGAAGAACACCGGUGGCGAAGGCGGCUUGCUGGACUGUAACUGACGCUGAGUCACGAAAGCGUGGGGAGCGAACA